CAGGACGAACGCUGGCGGCGUGCUUAACACAUGCAAGUCGAACGGGGUGUUUAUUUCGGUAAACACCAAGUGGCGAACGGGUGAGUAACGCGUAAGCAAUCUACCUUCAAGAUGGGGACAACACUUCGAAAGGGGUGCUAAUACCGAAUGAAUGUAAGAGUAUCGCAUGUGACACUUACUAAAGGAGGCCUCUGACAUAAGCUUCCGCUUGAAGAUGAGCUUGCGUCUGAUUAGCUAGUUGGUGAGGGUAAAGGCCCACCAAGGCGACGAUCAGUAGCCGGUCUGAGAGGAUGAACGGCCACAUUGGGACUGAGACACGGCCCAGACUCCUACGGGAGGCAGCAGUGGGGAAUCUUCCGCAAUGGGCGAAAGCCUGACGGAGCAACGCCGCGUGAACGAUGAAGGUCUUAGGAUCGUAAAGUUCUGUUGUUAGGGACGAAGGGUAAGAAUCAUAAUAAGGUUUUUAUUUGACGGUACCUAACGAGGAAGCCACGGCUAACUACGUGCCAGCAGCCGCGGUAAUACGUAGGCGGCAAGCGUUGUCCGGAAUUAUUGGGCGUAAAGGGAGCGCAGGCGGGAAACUAAGCGGAUCUUAAAAGUGCGGGGCUCAACCCCGUGAUGGGGUCCGAACUGGUUUUCUUGAGUGCAGGAGAGGAAAGCGGAAUUUCCAGUGUAGCGGUGAAAUGCGUAGAUAUUGGGAAGAACACCAGUGGCGAAGGCGGCUUUCUGGACUGUAACUGACGCUGAGGCUCGAAAGCUAGGGUAGCGAACGGGAUUAGAUACCCCGGUAGUCCUAGCCGUAAACGAUGGAUACUAGGUGUGGGAGGUAUCGACCCCUUCCGUGCCGGAGUUAACGCAAUAAGUAUCCCGCCUGGGGAGUACGGCCGCAAGGUUGAAACUCAAAUGAAUUGACGGAAGGGCGA
rnacentral:rRNA from 1 species